ACGCACCACACGGGUGCCUAAUUCUAAUUGGUUGUGGCGCUCGCUGGUUGCCUGUGUAUAUAAGGGGCCCUCCCUCACCGGGUUGACAUUGCAUUGUUCUCCUUCCGGUUCAGACCUCUGCGUUUGUUGGUGCUGCACGCCAGCUGCAAAUGAAUGCAUGCACUUAAACAAUGCGCUUAACGGCAUACUGAUUGUGGACCAAUCGUCCUUCGGACUGCCAGUACAAGCUUCCCACGCUUUCCUCCCUGUAAGAGGCACUACUUAAAGAGCUCAGUGGAACGGUCAGCUCGUGGUGUUGGUGGUGGACUUCUGGGUGGUGGUUCCUCUUCUGGUUUGGU